rnacentral:rRNA from 1 species
GUGGGGAAUUUUCCGCAAUGGGCGCAAGCCUGACGGAGCAACGCCGCGUGGAUGAUGAAGUCUUUCGGGACGUAAAAUCCUUUCAGCAGGGACGAAGCGAGUGACGGUACCUGCAGAAGAAGCAUCGGCUAACUACGUGCCAGCAGCCGCGGUAAUACGUAGGAUGCGAGCGUUGUCCGGAAUUAUUGGGCGUAAAGCGAACGUAGGCGGUUUCUUAAGUUUGGUCUUAAAGACCGGGGCUCAACCCCGGGAAUGGAUCGAAAACUGGGAGACUGGAGGAUGUCAGAGGAAAGUGGAAUUCCGAGUGUAGCGGUGAAAUGCGUAGAUAUUCGGAGGAACACCAGUGGCGAAAGCGACUUUCUGGGGCAUUCCUGACGCUGAGGUUCGAAAGCUCGGGGAGCAAACAGGAUUAGAAACCCUUGUAGUCC